rnacentral:lncRNA from 1 species
CGCCUCGGCGGCGAGCAGCACAGCGGGAACAUGGCGCCCGGAACUGGCGAGCGCGCCUAGCUGGCGGGACCGUUAGCUCGAGGCGGACGCGGCCCGGACCCGGUGGAUGUGGAGCAGUCGCCGCUGCCGGCGCCCAAGCCGACCCCAGGGCCGACCCCCGCAAGGAGCUGAAGGAGGUGGGAGCCCCAGUCGCCGCGGGCGUCGGCGCCGUCAAAGAAGAUGGCCACGGAGACAGCAGUGUGGUCAGAGUGGUGGAGCUGGUCAUCGGCGAGAGCUGCUCCAUGUCUGUCUGCUGAGUGCUAGAGCCUGUGGCCCACUGGCUUGCCUCACUGUGGUUGAUGGUGGCGGUGACAGAGACUGCAGCACGACCAGAGUGGCUUUUCUGGCUUUGCCCACCCAGCUGCUCCAUGCCAGGAGGAGGAGGAGACACCUAGAGCCUGCGACACCACGACUUGCCUCACUGCGGGUGGGUGGCAGCGACAGAGACUGCAGUGCGCCAGAGCGGUAGGAGAGCGGCCGCGCUAGGAGGGCAGGCGGCUGCAGCCAGGGUUGGGGGUCAGGCUUACAGCGAUGGACGGGCUGCAGCAGUGGCCAGGUGGUAGGAGCCUUGUAGGGAAGGCUGGUGCAUUGGCAAUGGGCCUGGCUUUGCCCUGCAUUGCCCUGUACCCGCCCUACUGUUACCUGGACUGUCUCGGCCCUGUCCUGCUCUGGUCCCAUCCUGACCCUGUCUUGGCCCUGUGCUACUCUGUCCCUGUCCUGGUCUUGCCCUGGCACUGGCCCUGCCCUGAACUGGCACUGGCCCUGCCCUGAACCUGCACUGGCCUGACCUUGGCUCUGGCCCUGGCUCUGGCCCUACCCCUUGUCCUGACCCUGGUCAUGUCAUGGCACUGGCCCUGCCAGUGGUCAUGGUCCUACUCCUGUUC